UAUAUGCGUGUCUGUGAUUGAAAAUCCAAGCCAGUUGCGGGCAAAAGGAUCCACGUAAGCAUACAUGAUAUGUGAGCAUGGCGCAGCUUAGAAGUAAGACCUGCGGACUAUACUAUAAAAUCCAAAUUUCGCAGGCGAGUGUGGGGGCAAAGAUCAGGUCAGGCGCAUAUA
rnacentral:ncRNA from 1 species